rnacentral:SRP_RNA from 1 species
GCCAGGUGUGGUGGUGCACACCUGUAGUCCCAGCUAUUCAGGAGGCUGAGGCAGGAGAAUCGCUUGAACCCAGGAGGCGGAGGUUGCAGUGAGCUGAGAUCACGCCACUGCACUCCCGCCUGGGUGACAGAGAGAGACCCUGUCUCAA